rnacentral:rRNA from 1 species
UACGGGGGGGGCAAGCGUUGUUCGGAAUUACUGGGCGUAAAGGGUCUGUAGGUGGCUUGCUAAGUCAGACGUGAAAUCCCUCAGCUUAACUGGGGAACUGCGUCUGAGACUGGCGAGCUUGAGGGCAGGAGAGGAACGCGGAAUUCCAGGUGUAGCGGUGAAAUGCGUAGAUAUCUGGAGGAACACCGGUGGCGAAGGCGGCAUCCUGGACCGAGAUUGACGCUGAUGCGCGAAAGCCAGGGGAGCAAACGGG